UACAGAGGUCUCAAGCGUUGUUCGGAUUUACUGGGCGUAAAGGGUGUGUAGGCGGUUGGGUAAGUCUGAAGUGAAAUCUCUAAGCUUAACUUAGAAAAUGCUUCGGAUACUAUCCGGCUAGAGGGUUGGAGAGGAGAUUGGAAUUCUCGGUGUAGCAGUGAAAUGCGUAGAUAUCGAGAGGAACAUCAGUGGCGAAGGCGAAUCUCUGGACGAAUCCUGACGCUGAGGCACGAAAGCUAGGGUAGCAAACGGG
rnacentral:rRNA from 1 species